rnacentral:rRNA from 1 species
UAGAGUUUGAUCAUGGCUCAGAUUGAACGCUGGCGGCAGGCCUAACACAUGCAAGUCGAGCGGAAACGACACUAACAAUCCUUCGGGUGCGUUAAUGGGCGUCGAGCGGCGGACGGGUGAGUAAUGCCUAGGAAAUUGCCUUGAUGUGGGGGAUAACCAUUGGAAACGAUGGCUAAUACCGCAUAAUGCCUACGGGCCAAAGAGGGGGAUCUUCGGACCUCUCGCGUCAAGAUAUGCCUAGGUGGGAUUAGCUUGUUGGUGGGGUAAUGGCUCACCAAGGCGACGAUCCCUAGCUGGUCUGAGAGGAUGAUCAGCCACACUGGAGCUGAGACACGGUCCAGACUCCUACGGGAGGCAGCAGUGGGGAAUAUUGCACAAUGGGCGAAAGCCUGAUGCAGCCAUGCCGCGUGUGUGAAGAAGGCCUUAGGGUUGUAAAGCACUUUCAGUGGUGAGGAAGGGAAUAUAGGUAAUAUCUAUGUUUCUUGACGUUAGCCACAGAAGAAGCACCGGCUAACUCCGUGCCAGCAGCCGCGGUAAUACGGAGGGUGCAAGCGUUAAUCGGAAUUACUGGGCGUAAAGCGCAUGCAGGUGGUUAAUUAAGUCAGAUGUGAAAGCCCGAGGCUUGACUUCGGAAGGUCAUUUGAAACUGAUUAACUAGAGUACUGUAGAGGGGGGUAGAAUUUCA